AGAGUUGGCAGCUAGGGUUCCGGUUCUCCUCACGAGAAUGCUGGUCCGAGAGCAGCCGCCAGGGGAGAGCCCUGGUGCACGGCGGGAUAAAAACCCGGGAGAC
rnacentral:sRNA from 1 species